AUGGCCACAAUUAUGUUGAAACAUGAGUUCCCAUACAAUCACCAAAGUUAAGCAAUGUUAAGCCUGGUCAGUACCUAGAUAGGUGACCACUUGGAAAUACCAGGUGCUGUG